CCCGGGCCGACGCGAGCCCGGGUCGGAAGUCGACGCGGCGGAGAGUGACCUGGGUGGGUGGGUGGUGGGGCGAGGGAAGGGCUCCCCAGCCUGCAGAGGCGGAGGGUGCAAUGGAGCCUGUCGGCCGGCGCGUCCCUGCAGCGCUGCGGUCUCCACGACGACUGUGGGCCGCGCAAGGCCCCCGUAGUCCGCUCUCCUAAAGCCUCGGUGAGAGCCGAGCAGCCACAGAGUGUGUGUUCACAAAGGGUCACCACACACGGAGCUGCCCCUCCCUGUCUCCCUAAACCCCAUCUUCGAGGCCAGGGGCUUUUCUGCCAGGAUUCUGGGGUGUUUCUCCUUUCCUCCCUCCCAGAUCUUCUAACGAUACACCACACGCUCAUCGACCUGCUGGACUCUGUAAACCCAACACAAGGUCACGGUCCAGUGUUGAGAAGUUGACUUUGCUAGUGAGAUUUACAGGCUAAAGAGCUGGACAUGCCUGAAGACAGCUUAAGGAUCUGGGACCUUUCUCUGCAAAGAUAAUCAGGAAUCUGGACGUUGGCAAAGUACCCAGCCUUUUCUUAUUCCUCAUGUCACAAGAAGUCGUGUGUCAGGGCACCGGAUCACUGGCCCUGUUUCCCUGGCAUUGGUGUAGAUGGCCUGAGAAAAGAAGGAAACUAGUCCAAUUUAUUGUAAAUAAGAGUUUGAAAUAAAUAUGAGAGCAAUA